UGAGGGAUAUUGCACAAUGGGCGAAAGCCUGAUGCAGCAACGCCGCGUGAGGGAUGACGGUCUUCGGAUUGUAAACCUCUGUCCUCAGUGAAGAAAAAAAUGACGGUAGCUGAGGAGGAAGCCACGGCUAACUACGUGCCAGCAGCCGCGGUAAUACGUAGGUGGCAAGCGUUGUCCGGAAUUACUGGGUGUAAAGGGAGCGCAGGCGGGCGUGCAAGUCAGCUGUGAAAUCCAUGGGCUUAACCCGUGGGCUGCAGUUGAAACUGUAUGUCUUGAGUGAAGUAGAGGUAGGCGGAAUUCCGAGUGUAGCGGUAAAAUGCGUAGAUAUUCGGAGGAACACCGGUGGCGAAGGCGGCCUACUGGGCUUUAACUGACGCUGAGGCUCGAAAGUGUGGGGAGCAAACAGG
rnacentral:rRNA from 3 species